rnacentral:rRNA from 1 species
UACGUAGGGUGCGAGCGUUAAUCGGAAUUACUGGGCGUAAAGCGUGCGCAGGCGGUUUUGCAAGCCGGAUGUGAAAUCCCCGGGCUUAACCUGGGAAUGGCAUUUGGGACUGCAAGGCUGGAGUGCGGCAGAGGAGACUGGAAUUCCUGGUGUAACAGUGAAAUGCGUAGAUAUCAGGAGGAACACCGAUGGCGAAGGCAGGUCUCUGGGACGUUACUGACGCUGAGACGCGAAAGCGUGGGGAGCAAACAGG